rnacentral:ncRNA from 1 species
AGGGAUUGAAGUGGAGAUAGUGCUGCCACGCACCUUAUGGGUCAAAAGAAAUGUAGGAAAGGGCACACCUACCAAUACCU